rnacentral:rRNA from 1 species
UACGGGGGGGGGCAAGCGUUGUCCGGAUUUAUUGGGCGUAAAGAGCGUGUAGGCGGCCAUGUAGGUCCGUUGUGAAAACUCGAGGCUCAACCUCGAGACGCCGAUGGAAACCAUGUGGCUAGAGUCCGGAAGAGGAGAGUGGAAUUCCUGGUGUAGCGGUGAAAUGCGCAGAUAUCAGGAAGAACACCCGUGGCUAAGGCGGCUCUCUGGGACGGUACUGACGCUGAGACGCGAAAGCGUGGGGAGCGAACAGG